GAUGAACGCUGGCGGCGUGCCUAAUACAUGCAAGUCGAGCGAACAGAUAAGGAGCUUGCUCCUUUGACGUUAGCGGCGGACGGGUGAGUAACACGUGGGUAACCUACCUAUAAGACUGGAAUAACUCCGGGAAACCGGGGCUAAUGCCGGAUAACAUUUAGAACCGCAUGGUUCUAAGUGGAAGAAUGUUUUGCUUACACCUAUAGGUUGGCCCGCGCCGUAUUAGGUAGUUGGUAAGGUAACGGCUUACCAAGGCAACGAUACGUAGCCGACCUGAGAGGGUGAUCGGCCACACUGGAACUGAGACACGGUCCAGACUCCUACGGGAGGCAGCAGUAGGGAAUCUUCCGCAAUGGGCGAAAGCCUGACGGAGCAACGCCGCGUGAGUGAUGAAGGUCUUCGGAUCGUAAAACUCUGUUAUUAGGGAAGAACAAAUGUGUAAGUAACUGUGCACGUCUUGACGGUACCUAAUCAGAAAGCCACGGCUAACUACG
rnacentral:rRNA from 1 species